rnacentral:rRNA from 1 species
GAUGAACGCUGGCGGCGUGCCUAAUACAUGCAAGUCGAGCGAACGGACGAGAAGCUUGCUUUUCUGAUGUUAGCGGCGGACGGGUGAGUAACACGUGGAUAACCUACCUAUAAGACUGGGAUAACUUCGGGAAACCGGAGCUAAUACCGGAUAAUAUUUUGAACCGCAUGGUUCAAAAGUGAAAGACUGUCUUGCUGUCACUUAUAGAUGGAUCCGCGCUGCAUUAGCUAGUUGGUAAGGUAACGGCUUACCAAGGCAACGAUGCAUAGCCGACCUGAGAGGGUGAUAGGCCACACGGGAACUGAGACACGGUCCAGACUCCUACGGGAGGCAGCAGUAGGGAAUCUUACGCAAUGGGCGAAAGCCUGACGGAGCAACGCCGCGUGAGUGAUGAAGGUCUUCGGAUCGUAAAACUCUGUUAUUAGGGAAGAACAUAUGUGUAAGUAACUGUGCACAUCUUGACGGUACCUAAUCAGAAAGCCACGGCUAACUACGUG